UGCUGUCCUUGGCCCCCUCAUGGCUUGACUCCUUUCCAGGAGUUGUGGAAGUUUCCCCAUGGUCUGCGAGCCCUCCUCCUUCCCUGCCAUGCUCUCAGCAGAUGGCCCGGCCCCCCGUGCUCAUGAGACCAGGAUCACCGUAGCAAGAUCAGCCCCCCCACCGCUGCUCCCCAAAAGUUUCGGGAUCUUCACUCCUUGAUCCUUUUCCUUUCAGGGCACAGAAGGUGGAGGCUUCCUUCCGCCUGCAGCUCCCCUCCCCAGCCUGAGCCCCUGGGGUGACAUAGUCCCAAUUCCCAGCUGGCACCCUCCAUCACUUGCUGUCUUUGGAACCUGUGAACUCUCUCCCCUCUGACUUCUCAGCUAUUCCCCCACACCGAAUGCAUCUGCCUUCCAUGCCCCACGCUCACGGCCUGGGCCACCCUGGUGGCCUCACAGCUGACCCGCUUAUUCUCGUCUUUCAGCCCUGUCCCCCCCAUGUCCACUGUAGUAAUUCCACAUCCCUUGCCAACGUUCCAGUGGGCAGAGCAAAUGCAGUGGAGCAUGUGAGCUCACAGAUUAGGCCUGAACUUCUCUUUAAAACACCACCUCCUUCCUCCUCUCCUCUCUGCUCCAGUUAGAUCUCUUCCUUAAACAUUUCCUGCCAUUCCUCUGUCUCCCCGUCAAAGCUUCAUCCAGCCUCGGAGCCCAGCUCCAUGCAGCAACCUGAGCUCCAUGACCAGUCUAGCAGGAGGGCCUCUUUCCUUUGCAUUUGUCCCGCAGCUCGGUGGUGUGUGCUGCUUUUCCAGCACUUUCCAUAGAUUGUCUUCCCUCCUUAAUGGGCUAUAAGCCCUUUGAGGGCAGGAUCUGGCCCUUCUCCCCUGCAAGCGCUUCAUGCUAGCUUUGCACAGAGAGAACGCUCCCUCUGCAUGGUGGUCACAGAAGGACACCAGCUCUCGCCAGCUCCUCUUGGCCCAGCACGGACUCACACCACCACCAGCCACCUGGAAGCUAGCUGUACAAAGCAGGAGUUUUGCCCCAUGUUUUCCCCAGUCCUGGGCAAGUAUGCUGGGGAAACCCUCCUGGCUGCAUGGUUCCUGGGAUAACAGCCUGGCCGCGAGAAACUGAGGCUACUGCUCUCGUCUCCAGGGCAAGGAACGGGCAGCCCCUCCUCCAGGCACCGCCACCCUGGGGCCCAGCAGGAUGACUCAGGGCAGGGACCAAAGCGCUGGCCAGGGUGGCCCCUUCCCAUGUGGGCGCUCCUGGUCCCCUCACUUUCUUCCAGAGAGAGCUCCCCGCACUCCUCUCCUUCUUCCCGAAGACGCUUGAAGAAGGAGUCACACAGGGGACGGACCCAGUUGUGGGAGGCUGGAGCGAAAAAGCCAAUAAAAGCGCCUUUAUUUGUAAUGUUCCCGUGCUUGAUAUCUUGUUAGGCCCUACUCCAUUUCCUCAGAGCAAUGAGACAAGGAAAAUAAUUAAAAAAAAAAAAAAGCCUUGCUCUAAGUAUGCACGAACUUUAUGGCCUCCCUCUGCUCCUCGUCCUCCUCCUUCCCCACCAGUGUUGCCUGUGAAUUCCUCUCCCAGACUUCGUGUUUUCCAUCCUAACGUUUAUGGCAUUUCCCUCGAUUAAUGGCUAACACAUUCAUUUUCUCCCCACCGCCCCCAUUAUCAAAGAGCGCUUGAAUAACGAUUAACUCUCCGGUUAACAGAAACAUGUUAAUCAUCUACAAGCCCUUGGGCAGGGAAAUAAUAUUCUUUGUAACCUUGUCCCAAUGGCGGGAGAGCCCCCGUCCCCUGGCAGCUGACCUUCAACCAAACCCGGGUCUAGAAGCUGGUGAAACCCAGACAGUGAGGGUGUUACGAGGGCUAUUAGUCAGCCAAGGUCAUAAAGCGCUGAGUGGGGGUGACGCUGGUGCUCUUUGGCCCAGGCCUGGAGGAUGCCUUUCAAUCCAGCCACCCUUGCUCCAGGACCCUAUAGAGAGACCAGGCUGCACCUCUUUUUUUUUUUUUCCCCAAAAUUGUUUUGCAAGCGAGGGCUCAUCUAUUGCACAUUCUUUGUUGCUGGGAGACUCAGAGUGGCUGUACAGGCUGUUCUUUCUUGGAGCCAUAGUUCAAAAGUGCUCCUGACCCAAACCCACACGUGUUGUAACCCUGCCCUCCCUUGUGUGGGGCUGGGACAGCCGCUAGGAAGCUUCUCCCCACUGCUGCUCCAAGUGCCAGGGAUCCACCCGCCAGAGCCAGUCGCUGGGAGGGUGACCUCCUUCUGAAGUUAGACACUCCUGGGAGCGUGAGAGGAGCUUGCUGCCUCUUGCCAGGCACUGAUGAUAGCGCCCAGCCAGUUUCACCGGCUCCUGGAAAAUGUUGGAUGACUUCACCUCCCUUUGUAUCCCUAGCCCCCUCUCUUGAAGCUGGUCUGACUUCCCUUUUGGACUCAAAAUUCUGAGCAGAAGCUAUUAUUACACACACACACACACACACACACACACGCAUCUCGAUUUGUGCAGCCAUAUAUGGUAACCACCAGCCGCCAGUGGCUAUGGGGCACUGGAAACCGGGCUAAUCCAGACUGGGGCUGUGCUGUCCGUGUAUGUAAUGCCAGAGAAUUCAAGGCUUACCUUAAAAAAGAAUGUAGAAUAUGACAUGUGUUGAAAUGAUGAUAAUUUGGAUAAAGUGGGUUAAAUAAAAUAUGUUAUGAAAA